CGAAGACGAACUACUAGACAGGAAGGGACGGGGCAGAGGAGCCUUUGAGGUCCUGCCUUCCUUGGCUUCCUGCCAUCUAGCCUCUGGGAAUUCCAUGGGAAGCCUUUCCUGCCAGACCCCAAGGCCCCCCAGGUCCAGUUUGCUUCUGCGAAGGUGGAAGGAGGCUCCGCGGGCGCGCGGCGCUUCGGGGCGCCGGCGGCAGCUGCGGGGCGAGGCGCAGAGGAGCGGCGGGCGACGCGCCUCCCCAGCAGGCUCGGGCUUGGCGAGGGUUGGCCAUCAAGCCCGAGGCUUCCACGGCAACGAGAGCGGGCAUUCGCAAGCGGUUGCAUUUCUCCUUCUGCGCGCAGAGAAAUCCAGGCAGCGCAGCACAACUCGGCGGCUAACAGCUGGGGGAGCAGGUUGCUGUGCGGAGCCGCUGUCUAGGAUUUUCGAACCUGGGUUCCUCUGCUUUCACACCUGACCCCGGCAGACAGUAGCACGUGCAGGGGGCUACGGGCAACAUGUUGUCGCUAAGUAAGAACGUUAGCGACUCCUUUCUUUUCCCCAAAAAAGGGCAGAGUGCUAAAGUGUGGACAGCACCAGCUCUGCAUAUUUCUCUGCCCCGAUCUGUGAGUCAGUCUGCUGUGCAAUUCUUCAUUUUCCAGAGUUGUUUUUUUAAUACACAAGCAGAAGGGGACUAAAACUUGAGGACCCCCUGCAUGUUGUCUUCUUUUUGGAGUGCCUUGUGCUUCCUCGGGGUAGAGAUUUUCACGUUUAAAUUUUUUAUUCACUUUUUAAGAAUGUUCCCAGACACUGCAGAGGGCGAGGAAAACUGACCCAGACUCUACAAAUAAGCAGAGGGACUCAGUGCUCAGACUUUGCACAGGGUGUGUCUUUUGCCUUAGUUCUGAUUUGCAAAUCAGAAAACAUUAGAGAGGAGGAGAAAAUUAAGUUAAGGGUCCUCUGGUUUGGAUAUUUUUCCAGAGUAUUGUAGAGCAAAAGGAAAAGACAAAAGAGAGCUACAAGUGUAGGCAAGCAGUCACUCUCCAGCCCCUGGAAGCGUGUGGAUGCCCACCACCUGCUGGAGAAGAAACUCAGGUGAACCAAGAGAAAAUGUGAAGAUGCUGUGCCUGCUUCUGUCAGUUCCCUCUUUCUUUACUUCCAACCGAAGUAAGAGCCCACCUAGUCAGACCUAAUUCUUGUCACAUGUACUGAUAAAAAGUAACGUCCAGCUCAGUGAAUUCACUCUCAAGAAAGCCCUCACCUCUGGGUAUCAUGAUAAAGAGAGUAUCCCAGAGGCUUACACCACAUCCCACAAGCUCCCAAAGAAAAUGGUACAAUUACAGUUAAAAAUCAAAGUCCACAUGAAGUUUGUUUGCACAGACAGUCUCAUAUAUAUAUCAAACACAAUCACACUUAUGGGAUCAAAUGCUAAAACAUAUACAACUACGAUUCAGGCUAAAAAGGAGGUAAAAACUAGUUUCAUUCAUGAUCCAAAUGCUCUCUGCACAAUUGUGUAACGGACAGAGACAGACACACAUUACCCAUAUGUAGACUAGUAAAUGUAAAUACCCCAAAUCAACUAAGUGCAAAUAAACAAAAUCUUCUGGAUUACUGUCAUAAGCCCACAUGUGUUUUCUCAUGUGAGUUUCCUUAAGUAGGAAGAUACAAGCUUCAUGUUCUACUUGGAAAAAUAGAUUUUUUAAGCCUUUUGCAACAACAUCUUUAAGGAGUAAAUAUACAAAAGCAGCGUGUACAGAGGUAAGGAUAGGAAGAAAAUGCCUCUGUGGACAUUUUUGCCUUUAGCCAUACUUUCGCUCUUCUCUCUGCUCCUCCAGCUGUGGGGUCAUUUUAGUUCCACAGAAAAACCACAACUGUCUCAGCAGUUGUUUCUGGAUCCUGUUUUUCUUUUGACUACUUAGCCCCAAGAGUUUGUGCCUUUACAACAAUGUCCAGUACUAAACUAAUGCCGAGCGAAGAGGAGCCUGCAGCACAGUCGGCCCUCAUCUGUGCUUUCAGACGCCAAGUGAUGCAGCAAUGUGCAGGCACUGGAGAAAAG
ensembl:lncRNA